GACCUGCACAGGUGCUGCAUGGCUGUCGUCAGCUCGUGUCGUGAGAUGUUGGGUUAAGUCCCGCAACGAGCGCAACCCUUAUCCCUAGUUGCCAUCAGGUAAAGCUGGGAACUCUGGGGAGACUGCCGGUGAUAAACCGGAGGAAGGCGGGGAUGACGUCAAGUCCUCAUGGCCCUUACAUCCCGGGCUACACACGUGCUACAAUGGCAGGUACAGAGGGCUGCGAAGCCGCGAGGUGGAGCGAAUCCCAGGAAACCUGUCUCAGUCCGGAUUGAAGUCUGCAACUCGACUUCAUGAAGGCGGAAUCGCUAGUAACCGCGAAUCAGCAGGUCGCGGUGAAUACGUUCCCGGGCCUU
rnacentral:rRNA from 1 species